ensembl:snRNA U6 U6 spliceosomal RNA
GUGCUUGCUUCGGCAGCACAUAUACUAAAAUUGGAACAACACAGAGAAGAUUAGCAUGGCCCCUGUGCAAGGAUGACAUGCAAAUUCGUAAAGCGGUCCAUAUUUUU